GGUGAACGCUGGCGGCGUGCCUAACACAUGCAAGUCGAGCGAAAAGACGAGGAGCUUGCGCCCUUGCCGGUAGCGGGGGACGGGCGGGUAACGCGUGGAUAGGAAACUUCUAUGACGGGGAGAAUUACGGGAAACAGGAGACAAUACUAGAGCAUAUAAUGUACCGCAGGGAGCAAUGGAGAAUGGCGGUUUUGGCGACUGUAAUAGCUGAUUCCGGGCCGCAUUAGCUAGUUGGUAAGGUAACGGCCUACCAAGGCGACGAUGCGUAGCCGAGCUGAGAGGAUGAUCGGCCACACUGGAACUGAGACACGGUCCAGACUCCUACGGGAGGCAGCAGUGGGGAAUCUUGCGCAAUGGGCGAAAGCCUGACCCAGCCACGCCGCGUGAGUGAUGAAGGUCUUCGGGUCGUAAAGCCCUUUUAUUGGGGAAGAACAACUGUAUAUUUAUCCCUGGCCGUCUUGACGGUACCUAAUCAGUAAGCCCCGGCUAACUACGUG
rnacentral:rRNA from 1 species